AUUGAACGCUGGCGGCAGGCCUAACACAUGCAAGUCGAGCGAGCGGCGGACGGGUGAGUAAUGUAUGGGGACUGCCCGUUAGCGGGGGGUCACUACUGGGAACGGUGGCUAAUACCGCAUACUAUACGAUAACCCAUAUGGGAUUAGCUAGUAGGUGGGUUAAAGGCUCACCUGGGCGACGAUCUCUAGCUGGUCUGAGAGGAUGAUGAGCCACACUGGGACUGGGACACGGCCAAGACUCCUCCGGAGGCAGCAGUGGGGAAUAUUGCAAAAUGAGCGCAAGCUUGAUGCAGCCAGGCCGCGUGUAUGAAGAAGGCCUUAGGGUUUUAAAGUACUUUCAGCGGGAAGGCGUUACCCGCAGAAGAAGCACCGGCUAACUCCGUGCCAGCAGCCGCGGUAAUUC
rnacentral:rRNA from 1 species